rnacentral:misc_RNA from 1 species
UUUUCUGUUCUAUAUUUCAGGCAAUCAGUCGAGUUCGGAUUUGCGGUGGGAUCGAAUUAUUGUACGUUAUUUUCAUAUAGUAUCACUGAUAAUCUGUAAAGAAUUAUUGCUGCGUCUCUGCUGAGAUAAAACAACUGAAGAGUCAGUCAACGCCCUAGAAAUUCAAGCUACAACGCGCAACUUUAUCCUACGAUAUCCUCGGUGUAAGCAACGCAAUUCUAACGAACGUUAAACCAACAAAAAAGAACGAAAUAAAAUGAUACUCUAAGGCAACUUUCUUUUGAGCAACAUACGAG